UACGUAGGGGGCUAGCGUUGUCCGGCUUUAUUGGGCGUAAAGAGCGUGUAGGCGGCCAGGUAGGUCUGCUGUGAAAACUCGAGGCUCAACCUCGAGACGUCGGCGGAAACCAUCUGGCUAGAGUCCGGGAGAGGGGGGUGGAAUUCCCAGUGUAGCGGUGAAAUGCGUAGAUAUUGGGAGGAACACCGGUGGCGAAGGCGGCCCCCUGGACCGGUACUGACGCUGAGGCGCGAAAGCGUGGGUAGCAAACGGG
rnacentral:rRNA from 1 species